UUUAGCGGGAAUUUUAAAAUUUUAUAGCAGUUUGGUUUUAAAUUUGACAGUUCUGUUUUCUCAAGUCAAAAAUCUUAACCUUACUUUUACAAGUGAUUAGGAUUAUUAUUAUUAUUUUAUUUACAUGUAAAUUGAAACAAUAAAUAUUGUGCUGUGUCAUAAUCUCAAACUCAUUAUGUUGCAGUCUUUUCCAGUUGAUAAAAUUGCAAUUCAAAAACUUUUAGAUUUGCACUGUAAAGAUGGCACAGGAAGAGAACAAGAGUACAAGAACAUGAAACAUCUUAUUAUGAAUGUAUAUGUAUGUGAUCCUCAAAAAAUUAUUUUACAAAACAAGAUAGAGAAAGAGCUUUAAAAUCCCAAGGAUCCUGCAAAAUGUUUAUUUGGUGUACUAGUUGAAUAAUAGUAUCUGAAAAUAUUCAAACUAUUUUAAAACACAUUAUGGGCAUGAGGAUGAUAUAGAGCACUUACAUAAAUACCAAAAUCAGAUAAAUAUCUCUUCAAAGUUUAUUUUGAGACUUUCUUCAACAAUUAAACUUCAGACUGUUCAGGAUAGCAUAAUAGCAUAGGAGGCGAAAUAAAAAGAAUUGAUUUACUUACAAGAAAAGAUAUCACAAACAUUAAACUCUCUUAUGGCAUUGAUUUGAAAGAUGGGUAUAUGUACAAUGAUGAUGCAACCAGUGUUUAUUUUUGGGUUGAAUGCUUACAGACUCAUGUCCAAUAUUAUUUUACAAACAACAGGGCAUACUAAUGGAUAUUCAUUCUGAAUUUAACAUUUAUGAUUUUUGUCUUAUUUUCCUUAAUACUGUGCCAAAAGGAAAUGUUAAUUAAGUUUGGUAAAUCCUUUAUCGCAAUCGAUGGAACUCAUGGGCUCAAUUCCUAUGACUUUGAACUUAUGACAGUAUUAGUAAAAGAUGAAUUUGGGAAUGGAUUUUGUACUGCUUUCUUAUUUUCAAAUAGAAAAGAUACCUACUUUAAUUCACCACUUUUUUUUAAAUACACGUCUGUGUUGGUAUUAUAUGUAUAGUCAAAUGUUUUCAUAUCAGGCUCUUUUACAUUUUCAUUUACAAUGCCUCGUCAAAUGUAAUGGGUAUUGCUCCUAAUAUACUGUUAAGUGCCUGGCACAUAGAUAGGGCAUGGUAAGUAAAUCUUAAUAAAAUAUCUGAUUCUGAAAAAAAUCCUAUUAUGUAUACAAGAUGUAUUAAUGAUGGUUUAGAGAGUAUUAAUAGCUUUUUGGGUAGACUUCUAAGUGAUGUAGAUACAUACAAUUUUUGUAAGUAUUUCCAGUAGAACUACUGCAAUAACAUCCAACAAUGGGCCUAUUGUUAUAGGAAGGGGUUGUGAAAUUAAUACCAAUAUGACCAUUCAAAAUUUUGGAUAAAAGGGUAUCUAUUAGUUGUUAUCAGUUAAGUUUAAAACUUGGCACUCAUGGAGAGCUAUACCAUAAUAUAUAAUAGGUAUAUCUCAUAAUAUUACAUCUCAUAUUGCUCACUCAUUACAAUAGUGAGCAAUAUGAGAUAUAACAUAUUAUAGUAUAAGUCUCUGUGCAUGACCAGAUUAACAUGUUUGGUGCCCAUCUCGAACAAGCUCCACUUGGCUGGUACCACAUACUUAAAUCAUUUAUUUAGUUACACAGUACUACUCACAUAACUUAUGUGUCGUCAGUACCUUCCGUAAAACCGUCGUGAUGCUACCCAUAGAUCAUGGCCACUGAAUGUGUUAAAGCUUGUUAAUGUAGGAGAGUUAUACUAAAAUAUAUAUCUUAUAUUAUAUUGCCUUAAAUAGAAAAAUAUCUUAUUUAAAUUGUAUCCAUGUAAGUUUUCAUUUAAUGAAAUAAACCUUUUAAUCAAAAAAGUGUUGUUUACUUGUGUACACCCAGCAAUAUCCUGAUCAUAGAUAAAUA